UACGUAGGGUGCAAGCGUUGUCCGGAAUUAUUGGGCGUAAAGAGCUCGUAGGCGGUCUGUCGCGUCUGCUGUGAAAACUCAGGGCUUAACCCUGAGCUUGCAGUGGGUACGGGCAGACUAGAGUGCGGUAGGGGAGACUGGAAUUCCUGGUGUAGCGGUGAAAUGCGCAGAUAUCAGGAGGAACACCAGCGGCGAAGGCGGCGCUCUGGGCCGGAACUGACGCUGAGGAGCGAAAGCGUGGGUAGCAAACAGG
rnacentral:rRNA from 1 species